rnacentral:rRNA from 1 species
UGAGACCGGCGCACGGGUGCGUAACGCGUAUGCAAUCUGCCUUUCACAAAGGAAUAGCCCAGAGAAAUUUGGAUUAAUGCCUUAUAGCAUACAGGGAUCGCAUGGUUCUUGUAUUAAAGAUUUAUCGGUGAAAGAUGAGCAUGCGUCCCAUUAGCUAGUUGGUAAGGUAACGGCUUACCAAGGCAAUGAUGGGUAGGGGUCCUGAGAGGGAGAUCCCCCACACUGGUACUGAGACACGGACCAGACUCCUACGGGAGGCAGCAGUGAGGAAUAUUGGUCAAUGGGCGCAAGCCUGAACCAGCCAUGCCGCGUGCAGGAUGAAGCAUCUAUGGUGUGUAAACUGCUUUUAUACAGGAAGAAACACUCCCUCGUGAGGGAGCUUGACGGUACUGUAGGAAUAAGGAUCGGCUAACUCCGUGCCAGCAGCCGCGGUAAUACGGAGGAUCCAAGCGUUAUCCGGAAUCAUUGGGUUUAAAGGGUCCGUAGGCGGCCUUGUAAGUCAGUGGUGAAAUCUCCCCGCUCAACGGGGAA